UGGACCCUUAACUUUAAUUAUUGAAAUGUUGUAUACCAAUAUAGGAUAUGUGGCACUUAUAAGAGUAUGAUUACAAAAGAGCUUAAAUACGUGGAAAGUGGUAGAGAAAUAGACUGAUCGAAUGCAUGCAUAUAAGUAAUGUUGGCCACUAAAUCCGCAUGGAAAAUUUGAUAAAAUAUCCAUCGAUUUUAGUUUAAUUUUUUCCCAUAAUUAAUGCUAAUUAAUAUUGGCCAACUAGGCCGAUUUUUAUCUAUUUCUUAUAUUAUCUUUCUCAUUUUUCAACACACUCCCGUCUCUCUCUUUCUCUACUUUCUCUCCCUCUCUUCUGUAACCAAAGCACUACCACCGACACAACCCCUAACAUCAAACAUCUCAAACUUUCUUACCAACCCACGACCAUCACAAAAUCUCAUACUCUCUCUACAAUCCACGACCACCAUGGACACACCAUCGCAAUUUCGAAGGAUCAAGCGUAAGUGGCAAUGGUCCCUGAUUUCCCCGCCUUCGAGUUUCUAAUGGUAUAUUAAUAGCAACAACACGACCUUUUCUUUUGGGCGAUGGAGCUGCCUCGCAAGUUGAGAGUACCUUACUAGAAUCUGAUGGAUCUAAAUCACCACCAUCUCCGCCGUGAUAAGAAGCUAUAUCGGCUGACAUUAUGACUCUUUAAAUGUAAAAUUCUAUGACUAAAUUAGUACGGAUGUAAAUUAACAAAAACAUAUAAUUAGUUUGAAUUAAAAUUAACAUCAUCAAAUUCACCAUUUACAAAAUUAUUAUAGAAUGUUUAAAACA